AAAACCUCAAAAUUGCCAUUAAUAGCCUCUCUAAGCACAACUAUGUUGUGCUUUGGUGAUCUCUUUCUUCUAAUGGAAUAUACCUAGUUUUGAAACAAGUACUCUGUACCACAGAAAAGCCAAUUCUCUCCUUUUAAUAAAAGCUUUAAUUUCUAGCUGUGAUACAUUGCACAAUAUCAAACUAAAAUCAGAAGUUAACACAGGUUUAGGACUAGGAUCUUGGCUGUCUUGAACUUCAGAUCAGGACAGAUACUCAGAGGUGUUAGCAGAAAACAGGAAUUGCCUGUGGAAAGAGCAGUUACGCUGCCAAGUGUGGUUUUGUUUGCUUGUACUGCUCUUUGUCUAUAAACUACAGACAGGGAUAAAGAUGCAGAUACAGAUACGUGCCUGUUUGCCCUAGUAUUUACUCACCUUCUCAGUAAGGUUUGUAGCUGAGCACUAUACAUUUGAGAUAACAGCAGAUGAACUAGGGAAUACAAAGCCUGCAUGGGAAUACCUUCAUGGCUCUGCAGUCAUGGCAGUGAUUGUGCUCCAGGCAUACUCCAAAGAGUUGACUGGUGGAGCUGCAUCAUAACAGUGAAAUACCAGAAGUCAUCUGGUCUCAAGGAAGCAGAUGAGUGAGCGAAGCUGAAGUGAAGGACAUAGUAUUGAUAGGUGGGGCUGUUGUAAGCUUGUACAUAGGCCCCUCAAGUAUCUGGCUGUUGGACACACGGGCAGGGUUGCCCUGGAGGAAGGGUUGAAAGGAAACAAGAGCUGAGAAAUGAAGGAAAAGUGGUACGUACUGUCAGGGUAGAGCAUGGGCCACAGACCAGAGCAGGGACAAGUGGAAUGUGGAGCAGACUGUGAUGUGGUGCUCUCAAACUGGGACUAGAGUUUUUACAUCAUCUUUACGAGAAGAUGUAAAAGAGAGGGUAAGAGGAAAGGAAGAAGUAAGGCUGGAUGGAAAGAGACUAGGAUGGAGAAAAGGCAGUUUUGAAGAAGACUAGGAGAAGGAAAAAUAGUAGGAAGCUGAAUGGGCUGUGCUGGAAGUAAACAGGAAGAAUCAUGUACUUCAGACCUAAUAAAAGUGCAUCUCUCUGGAUUCCCCACACCCACUCACCCUCUGCCACCAGUCCUCCUCUGUCAGCAAAUACCUGUGAAUCCCACAACAAAGUAAAUUUGUCUGAUAUUCCUCCUGUCCGCACAUGGAUGACAACCCACCGCUCUUACCAGUUUUCCUGUUAGCUCAGAGUGUCAGAGCUCUGCGGUAAAGCUAAAGGCUUCAGCCCUAAUGACAUUUACAACAACAUGAUGCUGCACAAUGGAAGGGGUUUUGAUAUUAUUAUUUUUUUUACUGUUUGCUUUUUUAAAAGCUAGAUAAUUGCACAUAUAAAAUCUGCUUUAAAUGAGGAUUAGGUUGCAAAAUCAAUACUACAUAAUGAGGAGUGUUAUUUUCUCCUUCCUCUCCUUUGGAUAUGCAUAUGCAAAGUAUAUAAUUGCAUACUUUUCUUUCCGUGGGAUCUCAGCCACAUUUAUUUUUCAGGGUGGAGCUGCUCUGGAGCUGUGUCAGGACUACAUAGUGGAGGAGACUGCUGUCUACAGGACUUUUUCCACAUUUGUUUCAGCAAAUGGAAGAUGUGCAGUAAAUGACAGAACAGGAUCAUGUGAAAAAGGAUAAGCUCUUGGUUAAAACAGCUGAACUCUGCCUUAGGAAUGGAUUCAGUCCCUCCUUUGCCACAUAGUUCUUGUAUGAUGCUGGAUAAAUCAGUUAAACCACGCUUCUUGCAGGUGGCCACAGAUUUCAUUCUCCUAGUUUCUGGGUAUCUGAAUUGACAUUUUGUGGUCUAAUUUGCAGAAGUGCUGAAUGAUCACAGAUGAAACUGAACUCAGUUGGUGCUAGACAUAUAAAGUGCUCUGAAUGAAGAGCCUAUCAACUUCUUGAAAUGUUCACUUGAAAUAUUAACUGUGUCAAACCAAGUAAACAGAAUCUACAAAACCUUAAACUACAGAUAAUUCUAACCCAAGCCCAUCCCAAAGCAAUCACACCCAAGAGGUAACAAAAUGUAUUUAUGGCUGGUGAUUCUUUUCUAUGGAAAGGAGAGGAAGAGGCAUCUUUCUGCUGUUCAGUCUGAUACCCAAGGAGGUGUCCUGCCCACCAAAACCCUAAAUUCAAGAUGAUACGCUAAGGUUGCUGUACCUCACCUGGCCCUCUCACAGAGAAGCUCUACUGCUUCUUUGAAUGUGUGUUAAUGGUUCUGCCAGCAGAAAUAAUAAACUAUUAUCAGUUGACUUAAUGUCUAAGGCCAAAUAACAGAAAGAACAUAACAGACUACUUCAGUAAGUCAGUUAUUUUCAAAUCAGCCAGACCUGACAGAAACCAACUGAGACCACAUGGGAAACUGGCUGAAGCAAUCCUAGAGCCAUGAGGGACCCUUACCCACAGCACCUGGGGAACAGAAGACCAGUGACAGGUGAUUGCAGUAUGCAUUUUUAAAAAAGAAGAAAAGCAGCUUGAGGAAUAUAGGCAGAGAAAACAGCCUAACUUGAAUUGCUGGAAAUAUAUUGAAACAAAUAAUUAAACAAAGUUUUCUUUUGUGUAUGGGAAAUAAUGAAAUGAUAAGUAGAGGCCAAGAAAGAUUUGCCAGGAACAAAUCAUGCUGAACCAAGCUAAUUUCCUCCUCUGACAAGUAGCAGGUCUUGUGGACAAUAGAUAUUACAUAUCUCGACUUGAACAAGCCUUUCAACACCGUCUCUUGUGAUUUCUUGUAAGCGAGCUAAAACGGAACUAUUGUAAGGUGAACUCAUAGCUGCUUGAAAAAAAAAAUACUAGAAGAGGAAUUAUUGUCCGUUCACUGUUGAAGUGGAAGAAUUACAGAAAGCAGUUCCACAGAUGCCCUUCCUGGGACUCAUACCAUUCACUGUUUUCAUUGUGUUUUGGAAGAUGGCAUAUCAAGCAUGGCUACCAAAUUUGUAGAGAAAGAUCUAUAAGCACCUUGGCAGGAUUAGUAUCUUGCUCAGUUGAAGAAAUGGUCUGAAAACAAUAGGAUUUGGUGCUUUAAGAAACUAUUUUAUUAGUUAAGUGUAAACUAUUACACUUAAGUAAGAAUAAACCCCCAAAUGGAAAGCAGCCAGCAAGGCAAAAGACCUGCACAAAAAUGCCUUGGGGAUUUUGGAAGAGUUCAAGCUAAGAAUUAACAAUGCCAUACUUGCUUUGGAAAACCAAGUAUUGUGCUGAAAUCGGCUAGGUGAAAGAUGUGAAAUAAUUUUUCCACUCCUACUCAGCACUGGUGAGGUCUCAAACUGGAAAAUGGACUGAUUCACUUUGGUCACUAAACUCAAGGGGCAAAUGGACAAUUAGGGAAAGUCCUGAGAGCAACAAAAAGUACAAAAAUUCUUUAAAAACUGACCUUGGAGGGAAUCUGAAAGAACUAUUUGUUUAAUCUAGAGAAAAGAGGACUGAGAAGAAACAUGAUAACAGUCUUCAAAUAUGUAAAAGGUAGUUGCUCGGUGAAAGGCAGUAGGUAACUCUCAAUGCUUAGAGGGGAGCAGGGAGCUUAAAUAGUAUCUAGAGUUACAGUUUCUGCUACAUAUGUAAGGAAAAGCUUCCUAGGUAGGUGGCUAAGAAAGCCUUGAUGCCAGUGGAGGUCACUGAGUCUUCAGCACUGAUGGUUUUAAACACAGCUGAAAAAGGCAUCAUUUAUGUAUUGUUGGGCAUGUUUGAGAAGGGGGGUGCUAGACCCAAGGACAACAGCUUGUGAGGCAAGUGUACAUGAUAAUUUGCAGACAUGUGUUUGAAAGGCAUAUGUAGCAUGGCAUGUAGUCAUAGCGUCGUGAGAGUGUCGUCAUUAGAUAAAGCAUCUCUCGGCUCCCAGUAAGUUCUUUCCAGCCCAUGGAACCUCAAAGCAGAGAAAAAUAUAUCAGAUCUAAUAUGCAAACUUUCAAAUAUUUCUGACCCCUAGAUAAUUUCUUGAGGUCUCUUCCUACCUUCUACAAUUGUAAAUAGAAAUAGGCUUUGCCAGAAUGGCUGAAUUACAGCUGCAGUGGUUUCCUGUUACAGAUGAAAAACAGAUAUUAAGCCUUCAUUGGUAACUUAUGCAAAAAAAAAAACCAAAAAACCACCAAAACAAAACCAAAAACUAAUCUACUACAUCAUGUGCAUUUCUGGCAAAAGGAGCUUGAAAUCCCAUCACCUGGGAGACAACCACAUACUAGCAUUUCUCCUUUAUGAGAGGACUGAAAGGUUUUGUCAUGAACCUGAAAGACUGUUUUUGUUGCAUUGCUUUGCAAACAUUUGGGAGGCAACAGUCCUUGUCUUUGUCCUGGGGGCCUGCUGUUCUGAAUAGUCAAGCCAAGAAAAUGGUGUGAGAAACAGCAAAGGUACAAAGAGGGGGAAAUGACACGCAUCAAGCUGCACAAAACGUGUAUAACAUGAAUGGGAGUAAAACCUAGGUCUUUCUGGUGUUGACACCAGUACCACCCAUCUUCUUGCACUGCUGUCCUACUGUAACAGUACUGAUUUCAACAGUAAGACUUCCUUUUGACAAAACUUGUAUGGAGGUUGCAUUUUAUGUUGGCAAUGACCAUAGACUGUGCAUAUUGCUAAGGCAUCCUUCUAGUGCUAUGAAAGUGAUAAUGUAAUUCUGUGCAAUUAAAAUGAUGCCUCCUACAUGCAUAAUGCCACUCCCUAGCUUUACAGCUGUUUGCCAUGUUCUCUGUGAGGGCAUUUGCUGAUAAUAAAUUGUGUUGUGGAAAUAUAAUAACAUGAGCAAGGAAAUCUAAACUGAUCCAAUUGUUUAAUUUAGUUUAAGCCUACAUUUUCUCAGAGGAAUCCCUAACCCAGAUUAAAGAAGUCAUGAGGUUUGAUCCCAUCACCCUUAUAAAUCACACAUGCAAAGCCCAUGCUAUUGUAUUGCUAUUAAUAGCACUGACAUGUAUAUGUAUGCUCAUAAUCUUGUAAAUAUAUAAGAAAAGCAAAAAAUAAACAAACAAAUACAAUA